rnacentral:rRNA from 1 species
UACGUAGGGGGCAAGCGUUAUCCGGAUUCACUGGGUGUAAAGGGAGCGUAGACGGCGACGCAAGUCUGGAGUGAAAGCCCGGGGCCCAACCCCGGGACUGCUCUGGAAACUGCGGCGCUGGAGUACGGGAGGGGCAGGCGGAAUUCCUGGUGUAGCGGUGAAAUGCGUAGAUAUCAGGAGGAACACCGGCGGCGAAGGCGGCUUGCUGGACCGUGACUGACGUUGAGGCUCGAGAGCGUGGGGAGCAAACAGG